GAUGAACGCUGGCGGCGUGCCUAAUACAUGCAAGUCGAGCGAACAGACGAGGAGCUUGCUCCUCUGACGUUAGCGGCGGUCGGGUGAGUAACACGUGGAUAACCUACCUAUAAGACUGGGAUAACUUCGGGAAACCGGAGCUAAUACCGGAUAAUAUAUUGAACCGCAUGGUUCAAUAGUGAAAGACGGUUUUGCUGUCACUUAUAGAUGGAUCCGCGCCGCAUUAGCUAGUUGGUAAGGUAACGGCUUACCAAGGCAACGAUGCGUAGCCGACCUGAGAGGGUGAUCGGCCACACUGGAACUGAGACACGGUCCAGACUCCUACGGGAGGCAGCAGUAGGGAAUCUUCCGCAAUGGGCGAAAGCCUGACGGAGCAACGCCGCGUGUGUGAUGAAGGUCUUCGGAUCGUAAAACUCUGUUAUUAGGGAAGAACAAAUGUGUAAGUAACUAUGCACGUCUUGACGGUACCUAAUCAGAAAGCCACGGCUAACUACGUG
rnacentral:rRNA from 1 species